rnacentral:tRNA from 1 species
GCCUGACUGGCUCAGCUGGUAGAGCAUACGACUUAAUCUCAGGGUCAUGGGUUCGAGCCCCACGUUAGGCA